AGAUAUCUGAGUUUCUAUAUUUCUAUUAUUUAGAAACGGCACUUUAGGUGUACGAACACAGUUCAGACUUCGGAUCCAUUUGGGAUUUCAAAAAACUUAAGCGUAAAUAGCUAAUUUUGCAUGUCGUCUGAGAGGGACACGUGUGCCAAUUACUUUGUGUACUGCACUUAUAUUUAUUUAUUUAACUAUAUAUAUAUAUAUAUAUAAAUCUAUAGUAGUACUUCACAACUUACAAUUUGUGUCUCAUUCGCUGGUUAGAAGACCAUCUUUGUCUCUGAGUAUCUAAACUCUCUUCUACUUUUUUCUGUUCUUCAAUCUUUCAAAUUGUGAAAUUGCUUGAUUGAUGAGUCUGGUUUCUUAUGGCGUUAACUAUUGUACUUGUAAAUUUCUGCUAGAUUUUACUUCAUUCUCCUUCUUUCUUUCUUGCACUCAUUUUUUGGUGAUAUGAUUUUGAUAGAUCUGAUUUGGUUUUCUUCAUAUUUUGGAUUUUUUCUGUUGAAUCUUUUACAUGCAGGUUAGUAAUUAUAUAUCUUUUGUUAGUAGUCUUCAAAAGUGGAAUUAAGACACAAUUCCUCUGCAAUUUCUUCUUCUCCAGCCUUCGUUCCCCAUCUCUGUUAACUUUCUCAAUUCUUCUGCGCUUUUAUUUCUUCUUCUUUCUUUUGGUGUUGAACCUACAUCUUUGAGUUUUUCCCUUCUUUUCUGUCUCCUGAUUUUGCUUGCUAUUAAUCUUCCAUUGGAUAUAAAUUUUUCAUUCUUUUUAACAAUUUCUUGCUAGAUUUUUACAUGCAUGUCCGGAAUUAUAUCUCGCUUUUAAUUACAUGUUUGGAAUUGGAAUACUGAGUCUUAUGAAGAGAGUGUGCUGGACGGUCUAAUAAGCGCCAUUUUGUCGCAGAACACCACUGAAGCUAACUCUCAGAGACCUUUUGCUUCCCUCAAAUCCUCUUUUCCAACCUGAGAAUCUGUAAGCUUUUUUCAAAUUGAGUUUAUUUAGUUCAAUUUCUUCAUACAUUCUUGCUUUAUGAUGGUUAAGGCAUUGAUUAAUCAAAGACCAUAUUUUUAUUUUGAGUUUAUAAGGGUAAAUCUUCCUCUGAUUAAACUCUUCUGAGGUGCUGUUUUCGUUUAUUUUAGGCUUUUGCGUUUAUUACAUGUUAUGUUCGUUCAAUGCAUUCAUAGUUUGCUAAUAUUAGUGAAAGUGAACCUUCUCAAAAUAAAUAAAGUAUUUGAUUAAAAAGUAUAACAUACUAAAAAUACUCCUUUAUUGAACACCUUCGACUUUAAUUUGAUUUUGAUUUCCCACUGAAUUUGUGCUUGCAUGUUAGUCACUGCUCUUAAUUUUGCAAUCAUCCUCUUUUUCUCAAGAAUUUUAUUUUUUGUUAUCAAGAUAUCAUGGCACUAAGAGGCAUGUAUUUUUUUUCUGUUUAAAGAAACGGAAAAUCUUAUUUCCCGAAUCAUUAUUUGAAUCAUGCACUGGUUAUGCAAGCUUUUUGCUGCCUCAAUGUUCCAGAUUUACAGGUAGAACAAUCUACCACUUUCUGAUAAAUUACUUGAAAUAACUUUCGCCUUAACCACAUAAGAUUAAUUGAUCUUAGUAGAUAUUUCCAUCUACUUAAAUUUGACGUUUCUUCCUUCUACGAAUUCUGAGAUUUAUAAAAUGUUAGUAUUUGAAGUGCCUCUCUGUAGUGCCGUUAUGGUAGAUGAGAUGGUGUCAUUUCGAUAAUGUGCUUUGUCUUUCGCCCUCUGCAAUCACAUGUGAAUGCAAAUAUUGAUUUGGGUUAUACUGAUGUGUACUUCAUAUUCUGGAAUUUGGUAAAGGAACAACUGCAACAGGUUCCUAAGAUCACGCAGAUUAUUCCAUGCCGCCUUUUAAAAUGAAAAAAAGAUGAAAUCUUUAGUGGACAUGCUAAAUCAAUUGUCAUUUUUUAUGUGCUUUCAUUAGCCUGAUAAUUCAAGCAUUUAGGAACUCUUUAAAAAGUUUAUCCUCUUUUCUAAUUUUCUGCAUAAAUAUUUUACCAAAGAAGAUUCCCGUAUGUUCUUCUGUAGUUCUGUUUUACCACAAGGCAUAUAUGUCCUUGAUUGUCUGGAAUAUGUGAUUUUAUCGGGCCUGCUAAUUUCCUUAGCCAUUUGGAGUCUAGGUAAAUAAUUCUCCCACUUAGACCAAUUAACAAAUUCUAAUUGCAACAUCCAUCUACUCUAUUGCAUGCACCUUUCUAUUUGCUUCCAAUAUCUCCCUUCUAGUAUACUUAUGUUUAGCAUAACUCUGUGAAUUUUCACCUAAGUGUGAUACUUUGUAGGUCUUAGAAAAUACCCAGUCAUAUAGUAUAGCAUUGACCUCCACAAAUGUCAAUUGUACUACUUUGGCAAUCUCCAGCCAAAUUUAUGCAAAUGGCAUUAUUUUAGAUAUGUGUUUUCUCAAUUUUCACUAACUCUCUGUAUGCACUGCUCUUUUGAAUAUAAACUAACACUCUGUUGAAGGAACUGGUUUUCAAGAUACCUGCGGAUGUCUAUCCUCGCUAAAGAUCUUGCCAUGAGCUUUAACUCUAUUUUUCUGCUUCUCUCAACUCCAGUUUCUUUAAUUGACUGUUGUUUACCUUCUAUUUCAGGGUACAUCAAAAUCUCCCUAUGCUCUGGUUUUUGGAAUGCAGAAAAAUGACUACUAAGUUGGGUAGUGUGUACGCAGACUUUACAUCGGAUAGAGAGACUGUUUCCGAUAGACCCUCGGCUCCUUUUCAUCCCAAACCCCACUAGUGAAAUUAUACUGGGUUGUUGUUUUUGUUAUCUUUUGUUUAAUUGAUCACCUUAUUACGCUAUUUCAUAUCAACCUUAUAAUAAUUCUUUCAUCAAGAGUAAUA
rnacentral:lncRNA from 1 species